AUGGUUCAUUUCGAGAACAGAUACAUGGUGAUGGAGGUCUUCAUCGACGUGAGCAGAGGAGAGGCUGAUCCAAUCAUCCUCACCCAGUUCAACAUAACCAAAGUUAUCAGAGAAAACAUCCAGCUCAACUUUGGGGAGUGUGGCCUCGCUGCAUCUCUUUGAUCAUUGCAAGUGAAGUAUGUAAAUCCUCUGAAGAUUUGCGUAAUCCAAGUGUCGCGUGAAGAUCACCAAAAAGUUUGGGCUGCUAUCACAAUGGUGAGGAGCAUUGGGUAGAUCCUUGUGUCGUUCAACCUCUUGGAUGUGAGCGGAAGUAUCAGGCCCUGCAAGAAAGCCGCGUUGGAGUGUGAAGAAGCAAAGUUUGAGCAGUAAAAGCUGGCUGCUUGUGAUGGUAUCACACCGGAGAUCAUUGAGUCCGCGCAGAGUUGCUUUGGCAAAUUUAAGGGGCUAGAUAGUUAG
rnacentral:rRNA from 1 species